rnacentral:misc_RNA from 1 species
UACUCUCACACUCUCUGCGGGGAGCGGUGGACUUGGGUGCUUGCUGCUCACGGAGUGGCUCACCUGAAAUACAUGAGUGCACCUCUUGGUUGGACAUAGUACGGCGUGAUAAGUGUCUUCGCCGGCACCUCGCAGAGGAUGGCCAGUCUCGAGCUCUGUGCUUUCGAACCGUCUUCGGACAAUGUCUGACA